ACGGGUGAGUAACGCGUGGGAAUCUACCCAACUCUACGGAAUAACUCAGGGAAACUUGUGCUAAUACCGUAUACGCCCUUCGGGGGAAAGAUUUAUCGGAGUUGGAUGAGCCCGCGUUGGAUUAGCUAGUUGGUGGGGUAAAGGCCUACCAAGGUGACGAUCCAUAGCUGGUCUGAGAGGAUGAUCAGCCACAUUGGGACUGAGACACGGCCCAAACUCCUACGGGAGGCAGCAGUGGGGAAUAUUGGACAAUGGGCGCAAGCCUGAUCCAGCCAUGCCGCGUGUGUGAUGAAGGCCUUAGGGUUGUAAAGCACUUUCACCGGAGAAGAUAAUGACGGUAUCCGGAGAAGAAGCCCCGGCUAACUUCGUGCCAGCAGCCGCGGUAAUACGAAGGGGGCUAGCGUUGUUCGGAAUUACUGGGCGUAAAGCGCACGUAGGCGGAUCGAUCAGUCAGGGGUGAAAUCCCAGAGCUCAACUCUGGAACUGCCUUUGAUACUGUCGGUCUAGAGUAUGGAAGAGGUGAGUGGAAUUCCGAGUGUAGAGGUGAAAUUCGUAGA
rnacentral:rRNA from 1 species